CUAUAUUAGAGAAAAGAAAAUGUAACUUCAAAAACAUUCCGAACUUGAUAAUAAGCAGAAACAAGAAACAAUAAAAAAGGAAAAGAUUAAUAAAUAGAAAAUACAAAAUAAAACUAUAUCAGUAUUCACACUCAAUGUAAUCAGAUUUAACUCACCUAUUAAAAGACAAAGAUUAUAGAAACAGAUUUUAUUUCCCAUAUUUUUAUUGAAAAAAAAACCCCAAUAUGCUGCUUAAAAGAGGCUAAUUCUAGGCAUAGGGAACAGCACAGGCACAGGCAUGGAGGCAGGAAAGCGAAGGUGCUGGUGGGGAGAAAACAAGUGUCCAGAGAGCUGGAUUGCAGUGUGAGAAAGGGUCGGCUGGGAAGGCUGGGGUCAGAUCCUCAGAGGACACAGGAAGGAGCUCUCUUUUUAAAUCUCUAAGCACCAAUCACAUUGCAGGUGUUUGAGCAAAGGAUUCUGUCUGCUGCCCUGUUGGCUCUGAUUUAAAAAUAGCAUUUAAUGAUCUCAAUAUGUGCCCUGUCCACCCUCCAUUCUCAGGCCAAACUU
rnacentral:lncRNA from 1 species